rnacentral:rRNA from 1 species
UACGUAGGGUGCAAGCGUUUGUCCGGAAUUACUGGGCGUAAAGGGCGCGCAGGCGGUCUUCCAAGUCAGAUGUGAAAGCCCCGGGCUCAACCUGGGAACUGCAUUUGAGACUGGAGGACUAGAGUUCGGGAGAGGAGAGCGGAAUUCCCAGUGUAGAGGUGAAAUUCGUAGAGUAAUUGGGAAGAACACCGGUGGCGAAGGCGGCUCUCUGGACCGAUACUGACGCUGAGGUGCGAAAGCGUGGGGAGCAAACAGG